rnacentral:lncRNA from 1 species
CGGGGGGCGGCGGCGGGCGGCGGAGAGCGGGGGCCGGUUCCUGGUCCCCGGGAGAAGCCAAGAAGAUUCACUCCAGCCUGCCAGAGACGUGGUAGCUGCCUUGCCAAGAGCUAUCCUGGGAGGGCUAUUGAAAGAGCUUUGAGGGUGAUUGAGAAUAGACUCAAGAUCAUUGGCCGAAUGCACUUCAGAGCAUCAGCUGGAUUGAUGGUGUAUUAGUCCGUUCUCACACUGCUAUGAAGAGAUACCUGAGACUGAGUCAUUUAUAAAGAAAGAGGGGCCAGGCACGGUGGCUUAUGCCUGUAAUCCCAGCACUUUGGGAGGUCAAGUCGGGUCGAUCCCCUGAGGUCAGGAGUUCGAGAC